CCCCAUAGGGCAGCCCUUUGACCCCACGUACAUGCUGAGCCGCGCCGUGUCCAACAUCAUUUGUGCCAUGGUGUUCGGGAGCCGCUUCGACUACAACGACCAGGAGCUGCUGGAGCUGCUGCAAAUGAUGAACGAGAGCUUCAGGGAGCUCAGCACCCCCGCGGCACAGCUGUACGAGAUGAGCGAGACGCUGCUGCAGCAUUUCCCGGGUCCCC